UACAGAGGAUGCAAGCGUUAUCCGGAAUGAUUGGGCGUAAAGCGUCUGUAGGUGGCUUUUUAAGUCCGCCGUCAAAUCCCAGGGCUCAACUCUGGACAGGCGGUGGAAACUACCAAGCUUGAGUACGGUAGGGGCAGGAGGGAAUUUCCGGGUGGAGCGGUGGAAUGCGCAGAUAUCAGGAGGAACACCGAUGGCGAAGGCAGAUCUCUGGGCCGUAACUGACGCUGAGGUGCGAAAGCGUGGGGAGCAAACAGG
rnacentral:rRNA from 1 species